GGAGACCUGCCAGUUGGCUGACGCCGGGAGUUGGGUCUCUGGUUGGAAGGACAUGGACUCAGGAACCAGCCAUAGGUGGCUUGCUGCUGGGGACGGUGCAGGGACAUCCUGGCCAAAGGGCAGCUGUGUGACUGGCUCCUCUUCUCCGAAUUCAUGGCCAGAGUGUGAGGACUCACCCAGAAAACCGACUCAGGCUUCCAGGCGGCACUCAGAGCCUGUGCUGGGCGUGUGGCAUGGCUGACUGUCAAAUACAUCACUCACAGUCGAUGGCAUGACAGUGGGUGUAUGUCAGCAGCUCUUCGAGCCAGGCAGGCUGGACCCUUGGUCCUCCUCAAAGGAAAGGAGAGCUGACACUGAUUGGGCACCUACUACGUGCCAGACAUUCUCCUAAAUAUUUUACAUCCGCCAUCAUUCGAUUCUCUCAACAGCCCUGGAAGGAGGGGCGGGUCAUCCUCUCCAUCUCACAGCAGAAAAUUUCUACUUGGACACACACAGAAAGGAGAUGGUGUGAAGAGUCACAGAAAGAAGAUGGCCACUACAGGAGGGAGGCACAGAACGCAGCCUUCCAGGCCCGCAGAGGAAAACCACCCUGCCUGCACCUCCGUCCUGGACUUCCGGCCUCCACAACGGCGGGAAGUAACUUUCUGUUGUUUAAGUCCCUUGUCCUGUGACUGUGUUAUGGCAACUCUAGCAAAUUAAUAUAUAUCUCCGUAUAUAAAACAUAUUCAUUCUCCUCCCCUGAGACUGGUCUUCGUGGCAUCAGCUCAAAGCCCAGGGUCGUGUCACCGACACCAGGUGCAGGUGGGGCCAUGUUAGGUGGAGCUCCUUGGGUACAGCUCCUUGCGGACCACUCCUCUCAACGGCAAGAUCUGUGCAUGAAAGAGACAAGAUCUCUGGGCCCCCCACACCCAGCAAACAACGGGGCGACAGGCUUAGGAUAAGCACCAGAGAUACUCCCACUCAAAGGGGGCAUGCGGGAGACACAGCAGUCACUGGUCCACGGCAGUCCUAACAUCCUCGGGCACCCGUUGCCAGUCCCUUAGUUAGCACUCAGUCUCACUGCCUGAGAACUUCCUCCCACAUCCGCUAGUGACCCCCAGUCGUGGGACCCCCCGAAGCUGCAGGAGGCUGGGAAAUGUGGCCUUGCUGGUGCUCUGGUGGGCAGGGGUCUGGUACCAGCCUUGUCUCUCCACACCCUUCCUCCGUGGCUCGAGCCUGGUCUCCUCCAUGCUCCUUGCACGAGUGCCCCCAUGGAUGGGAAGCUCCUGGAGCACCGAGACCGUGCCUCUCCUGUUCAUCACUGCCUGCCCUGUGUUCGGCACAGAAUAGGGAUUCCAGACGUAGUUACUGAAGAGAGGAAUGGGUCGGUCUCGCAUCUGUGCCCCCGGAGAGCUUUGUAAAUAUCUCUGAUGGGGCCUUGACGUCACUGGGUUUUACUCACUCUGUGCUGGUCCCUGCUCACCCUCAGACUCCUCUCUCUGCUCCACCAGGUUCUUCUCAGGCACCUCCUGCGUGGUAACACUGUGCUGGGCCCUGGGCAUGUCUUUGUGAAUAAAACAGACCUGUCUGCGCCCUCAGAGAGCUUGCGGUCCAGAGGAGAGACCAGCAAUGAGCAGAGAGUCACAAACCAUUGUGCAAAUAAAUUUAAAAUG
rnacentral:lncRNA from 1 species